GGGCCCUUAGCUCAGUUGGUAGAGCGAUAGGUUCGCAAUCUAUAGGUCAGGAGUUCGAAUCUCCUAGGGUCCA
rnacentral:tRNA from 1 species